rnacentral:rRNA from 1 species
UGGCAAUAGCUCAAAUUUGAAAUCAAACAAGUUUGUUUGAGUUGUAAUUUGGAGAGGAUGUCUUUGGUUUUGCUUAGAAUCUAAGUCUCCUGGAAUGGAGCAUCAUGGAGGGUGAUAAUCCCGUUUGUGGUUUUAAGUUUUUAAGCCUUAUAAGACUCCUUCAAUGAGUCGAGUUGUUUGGGAAUGCAGCUCUAAAUGGGAGGUAAAUUUCUUCUAAAGCUAAAUAUCAGCUAGAGACCGAUAGUGAACAAGUAGAGUGAUCGAAAGAUGAAAAGUACUUUGGAAAGAGAGUUAAACAGUAUGUGAAAUUGUUGGAAGGGAAGCAUUUGCAAUCAGAUUUGUGUUGUUAAAAAUCACCUACACAUACUAUUGUGCUUAGAGCAUUUUUUUUCAACACUUGUCAACAUCAAUUUGGGUAGUGAUAGAAUGGGCCGAUCAAAAUGUAGCUCUGUUAAGAGUGUUAUAGUUGAUUGUUCUUGUCACUCACUUGGAUUGAGGCACGCGCAUAUUUAUUUAUGCAUGGAUGUUGACUUAAUGGUUGUAAGUGGCCCGUCUUGAAACACGGACCAAGGAGUCUAACGUUUACGCGAGUGUUUGGGUGUUAAGCUCAAGUGCGUAAUGAAAGUAAAUGUAGGUGGGAAAUUUUUUUUUUUU